CAACAGCUGUGUGCAGAUCAACAAUGGAUCAUAUAUCGAGUGCAGAGAGAGUAUGAGCAUGCAGCGUUUAAAGCGUGGAAGUACUGACCUUACUUUGAGUUUGAUUCCAUAAAAAGUGACAAAAACAUUAGUGUCCGCUGUGCGUGGGAAGAAAACUUCUUUUUACAGCGAAAAAACCCCUAAACUUCCAACAAGCACCGAGUAGCUACGACGUAAUGGGAAACUCAGAGAAACUCGCGGAUUCUUCCACACCUGCACCAGGGCAGGGUGUGGGUGUGUACGUGUGCGUGUCUGCGGGUGUGGCUGGAGGAUGGAGCACAGCCACCUGCAGGCCUGAUGGUUGUGGCCCUGCGGGAGGACUGGCCACACCUGAAGUUCCUGCCACACCUGUUGGUGAUCAGGGCUCGUCGGGGGAGCUACUUUGGCGAGUGUUGGAGCUCCCACCGGCGCGGGAUCAUUGCGUUGUCAUCCAAAGUGGAGGAGUGGACCAGAAAGGCAGCACGCACGGGGUGUGCGGAAACACGACAGCGGGGAGCACGAGCACAGACGUCGGAGGGGAGCACACACAUGGGAGUCAAGGGAGAAACGGGGAGUUAUUGUGUUUACAGCUUUCACUGUAAAUAAAGUGCAGUUUCCAUCGCAGAAACCUGCGUUUUGGCUCCUCAUUCCCCAUAUCCCCACGGUCUGCCAGCCAGACCUUGACAAGAUGUUUAAUGAGAAAAUAAAUAAAAUAUAGUUACCUGCAUCAUCAUUUUCAUUUUCAAAUAAGAAUGAUAUGAUUGUCUGCUAGUAAAUCGAUCGAAUCGUUGCCUUAGAUGCACAAAACCAAAAUAAGUCACCACAUAUACCUGGACAGCCCACAAAAAAUCAGUACACACGUAAACAAAUGUGUUUGGAAUAACUGUUGAACAAUAUUAAAGACCAGUGUCUGCACUGGGAUUGUAUUAAAGGAUAUGGCUUUGUUCAAUAAAGUGGAUUACAGCACAUCUGUAAAGUUAAUA
ensembl:lncRNA